rnacentral:rRNA from 1 species
UACAGAGGUCCCAAGCGUUGUUCGGAUUCACUGGGCGUAAAGGGUGCGUAGGUGGCGAGGUAAGUUUGAUGUGAAAGCUCCGGGCUCAACCCGGAAAUGGCAUUGAAUACUCUCUCGCUAGAGGAUUGGAGGGGAGUCUGGAAUUCUCGGUGUAGCAGUGAAAUGCGUAGAUAUCGAGAGGAACACCAGUGGCGAAGGCGAGACUCUGGACAAUUCCUGACACUGAGGCACGAAAGCCAGGGGAGCAAACGGGAUUAGAUCCCCCGGUAGUCCUGGCCCUAAACGGUGCACGUUUGCUGUAGGCGGAAUCGACCCCGCCUGUGGCGUAGCUAACGCGAUAAACGUGCCGCCUGGGGAGUACGGUCGCAAGAUUA